CGGGGGGAGCAAGCGUUGUUCGGAUUUACUGGGCGUAAAGGGCGCGUAGGCGGCCACCGCAAGUCGACUGUGAAAUCUCCCGGGCUUAACUCGGAAAGGUCAGCCGAUACUGCGGGGCUAGAGUGCAGAAGGGGCAACAGGGAAUUCUCGGUGUAGCGGUGAAAUGCGUAGAUAUCGAGAGGAACACCUGCGGCGAAGGCGGGUUGCUGGGCUGACACUGACGCUGAUGUGCGAAAGCUAGGGGAGCGAACGGGAUUAGAUACCCCGGUAGUCCUAGCCUUAAACGAUGAAUGCUUGGUGUCUGGGGUUCUAUAGUCCCCGGGUGCCGUCGCUAACGCUUUAAGCAUUCCGCCUGGGGAGUACGGUCGCAAGACUG
rnacentral:rRNA from 1 species